rfam:Caldanaerobius fijiensis DSM 17918 genome assembly, contig: EJ21DRAFT_scaffold00078.78
GUCAUAGACCCCAUGGCUGAAGCCAGGGGCUUGGGGACAAGCCCUGCAGCUAAGCCAGACCUAUGACCAGCCUGAGUGCCGGAGUUCAGCCGGAACGAUGAAGGCACUACGUUGGGAGGGUGCACACCUUAAGAUGCAUUCCCAGUCUUCUGCCCUGUGGCACAGCGUUAAAAGCGAGCAGGGGUGCAGCGAGCGGUGCGCUGUGCGCUAAACCCCUUCCAACAUUGACGAGGGAAGACCGC